rnacentral:rRNA from 1 species
AUCCGGGAACCGGGGCUAAUACCGGAUGGUUGUUUGAACCGCAUGGUUCAAACAUAAAAGGUGGCUUCGGCUACCACUUACAGAUGGACCCGCGGCGCAUUAGCUAGUUGGUGAGGUAACGGCUCACCAAGGCAACGAUGCGUAGCCGACCUGAGAGGGUGAUCGGCCACACUGGGACUGAGACACGGCCCAGACUCCUACGGGAGGCAGCAGUAGGGAAUCUUCCGCAAUGGACGAAAGUCUGACGGAGCAACGCCGCGUGAGUGAUGAAGGUUUUCGGAUCGUAAAGCUCUGUUGUUAGGGAAGAACAAGUACCGUUCGAAUAGGGCGGUACCUUGACGGUACCUAACCAGAAAGCCACGGCUAACUACGUGCCAGCA